rnacentral:rRNA from 1 species
CCUACGGGUGGCAGCAGUAGGGAAUAUUGCUCAAUGGGGGAAACCCUGAAGCAGCAACGCCGCGUGGAGGAUGAAGGUUCUCGGAUUGUUAACCCCCUUUGUUAGAGAAGAUAAUGACGGUACGUAACUAAUAAGCACCGGCUAACUCCGUGCAAGCAGCCGCGGUAAUAUGGCGGGUGCAAGCGUUACUCGGAAUCACUGGGCGUUAAGAGCGGGUAGGCGGGAUAGCAAGUCAGAUGUGAAAUCCUAUGGGUUAACCAUAGACGUGCAUUUGAAACUGCUAUUCUUGAGUAUGGGAGAGGUAGGUGGAAUUCUUGGUGUAGGGGUGAAAUGCGUAGAGAUCAAGAAGAAUACUGAUUGCGAAGGCAGCCUACUGGAGCAUAACUGACGCUGAUGCGCGAAAGCGUGGGGAGCAAACAGGAUUAGAUACCCGAGUAGUC